CAGAAAUAUCUACUCCAAUAUGGUGUCUUCCCUCUGCUUCAGAAUCCCAGAAGGAUAUUCUCUGGAUGGCAAGAUAACCAGGAUACAGCCUAAAUCAAGAAAUGUCAGAGAAGUGACACCCAUGCAGUGUCUUCAAUAUGGCUGCUUCAAGACUGGGACGAUGAUAACACCAAUAGAAAUGACAUGUAAGAGGAACAGCUCAUCUGGAUGUAACACUAGACAAAGAACUACAGGCAUCUAAGGAAUAUUGAGAGCAAGUUUAUGUGGUGGAUUACAUUUACUGAUUUUCAUAUGUUGAAACAGCCUGAAUCUCUGGGAUGA